rnacentral:rRNA from 1 species
UACGGGGGGAGCAAGCGUUGUUCGGAUUCAUUGGGCGUAAAGGGUGCGUAGGUGGCGAUGUAAGUCUGGUGUGAAAUCUCGGGGCUCAACCUCGAAAUUGCAUUGGAUACUGCGUUGCUAGAGGAUUGUAGAGGAGAGUGGAAUUCACGGUGUAGCAGUGAAAUGCGUAGAUAUCAGGAGGAACAUCUGUGGCGAAGGCGGCCACCUGGACCAGCACUGACACUGAGGCACGAAAGCGUGGGGAGCAAACAGG